CAGUAGCCGCGGGAAUACGAAGGGGGCUAGCGUUGCUCGGAAUGACUGGGCGUAAAGGGCGCGUAGGCGGAUUGCGCAGUCAGAUGUGAAAUUCCUGGGCUUAACCUGGGGGCUGCAUUUGAGACGCGUAGUCUAGAGUGUGAAAGAGGGUCGUGGAAUUCCCAGUGUAGAGGUGAAAUUCGUAGAUAUUGGGAAGAACACCGGUGGCGAAGGCGGCGACCUGGUUCAUAACUGACGCUGAGGCGCGAAAGCGUGGGGAGCAAACAGGAUUAGAUACCCGGGUAGUCCCUGUCUCUUAUCC
rnacentral:rRNA from 1 species